rnacentral:rRNA from 1 species
UACGUAGGGGGCUAGCGUUGCUCGGAAUCACUGGGCGUAAAGCGCACGUAGGCGGAUUGUUAAGUCAGGGGUGAAAUCCUGGAGCUCAACUCCAGAACUGCCUUUGAUACUGGCGAUCUUGAGUCCGGGAGAGGUGAGUGGAACUGCGAGUGUAGAGGUGAAAUUCGUAGAUAUUCGCAAGAACACCAGUGGCGAAGGCGGCUCACUGGCCCGGUACUGACGCUGAGGUGCGAAAGCGUGGGAGCAAACAGG